rnacentral:rRNA from 1 species
UUUAGAUCAUGGCUCAAAUUGAACGCUGGCGGAAUGCUUUCUUUUGCAAGUCGAACGGCAGCACGGGGGCAACCCUGGUGGCGAGUGGCGAACGGGUGAGUAAUACAUCGGAACGUGCCCAGUCGUGGGGGAUAACGUAGCGAAAGUUACGCUAAUACCGCAUACGAUCUACGGAUGAAAGCGGGGGAUCGCAAGACCUCGCGCGAUUGGAGCGGCCGAUGUCAAAUUAGGUAGUUGGUGGGGUAAAGGCUCACCAAGCCAACAAUCUGUAGCUGGUCUGAGAGGACAACCAGCCACACUGGGACUGAGACACGGCCCAAACUCCUACGGGAGGCAGCAGUGGGGAAUUUUGGACAAUGGACGCAAGUCUGAUCCAGCCAUUCCGCGUGCAGGACGAAGGCCUUCGGGUUGUAAACUGCUUUUGUACGGAACGAAAAAGCCUUGGUUAAUACCCGGGGUCCAUGACGGUACCGUAAGAAUAAGCACCGGCUAACUACGUG